UCCCAGAGGAGGCACGCAUGCCGGCGUACGGAGCCAUCACCAACCGCUCCUCCGCUCCUCUCGCUCUCCAACGCCCACGCGAUGCCGCCUGGAUCGGAGGAAUCGAAGGUCACCGCUCCGCUAUGUUCCGUUUCGGAGCCGAAACAACAAGCAUCCAUGGCCGCUCCGCAACCGAAGGCCAAAGGUGAUGUCCAGGUGCCGCAUGAACGGCAGGGGAGCUGAAGGCCGCAGGCGCCGGCCGCCCCGGUGUGAGAGGAAACAGGCGGGUUCUCAGGGACACCCUCAACGUCGUCCAUGGCCCACGUCCUCAACGAGGAAGGAAAUCAGCACAAUGAUCGAAUACCUGAUCGGUUCCAGACCACCCGGCGCGCUCCCUUCACAAGGAUCGAACCUCGCGGCGGCGGGCGAUGGCAGCAGCUCCGCGGUCCUGGUCCGCUCGUCUCAUCGUCCCAUGCGGCUUCGAGGUCACUACGUUCGGCCGUCGGUCCCCCGCGAACAACAUCAUCCACGUCCUCACCGACGCGCGGGGUUCAACAUGGCGCUCGAGACCUCCAGCAUCGCGGAUGACUUCUAGGCCGACGAGCGCGGCACCGGCAUCACCAUCUUCGUCCCCAUCGGCGACGCCUUCCCCGGCCUCCCUUCCGGUGCUGCGAUUCCACGUGCUGCACUCCUACUACCGGCUCGGCUCCCUCGAGUCCAUCAAGAACCCCGUCCAGCCCACGUCCUCACCAAAGUGCAUCGUGGCCGGCUGCUUCGUGCCUCCGGUUCUAGGUGGAGCAAACAUAAAUGUCGGGGUCGAUGUCGACGGAGCCAUUGAAUCGUGUGAUGUUGAUCCUGAAGCAGUCGGGCUCUGCAAUUGUGACGCUGGACGCUGCAAAGGAGAGGACAUCAUAGCUGGAGUUCGAGUUCGAGACGCAGAGGAGAGGACGCCAUAGCCAAAGUUGAAGACGCAGAGCAGAGGACGAGACGGUUCGGAGGAGCCAGAGUUAACCACGCCGACAACGAUCCAAGCAUCUUUGCUAUUUACCAUUUCCAGGUUGAUUGGUAAUGCAUGCCAAUUACUAUUUGUAGGUUAGGUACUUUCACUAUUUGUAAUAGAAAUGGUAAGAGUUUUAAGCAGGAGGUGGAGCUACUUUUUGUUUGUCAGUUUAAAUUUUACUAAUCUGUAGCUGAACUUGAAGCUGCUGUAUCAGGUGACAGCUGGUGAGCAGGAUCGACAAUGGAUUGAUUAGUGUCACCAUCCUUUGGUUCUGAAGCAAUUCUUGAGGCGUCUCCGACCAGAACAAUCUGGUGCCUACCAAUUUCAGUUCAUAUGUGAGGACUGCCCUACGCUCAAGCAACGAGUUACGACAUGGAUGGAGUGUAGGACGAAGUUCAGGACAUCAGAGAACAGAUGACACAUUGGUCACAUCCCCAGUAAAUGUGUCAAUCAUACUAAACCGUCGAUGGUUUCUAAUUUCCAAUAUUGAAAAAUGCUACUAUAUCUCAAGUAAUAUGAGAGUAUUGAUUAACCCAUUUUCUGUUUCUAAGCUAUCUUUAUUUUUCUUAGUUAUUUUGGUGUUUUGUUUGGCACAGAAGAUGGUUUCAAAACAGAGAGUUGUGGUUUUGAUGCUAUCUGUAAAGGUAAUUCAUAUAUAUCAUAAGUUUAUUAACAUACUUACUUCAUAUGAACAUUAUUCUUUUACUUCGUUAAUAUAUGGGUCAAUAUGUUCGCACCAUACCCUCAGGGCCAUUACCUUGACUGUCCAUUCUAGAUAAUUAAGCUCCAAGGCACUUGGUCAAUCCUAUUGGGACGCACUGGUACUUACUUUCUGAUGGAGUCGAAUCAACUAUUUUAUUUUAUUUUAUUUUGGAAGCACCAACCUAAUCUCCUGACAACUGUAAAAAACAAAUUGCAAGUACAUGUGAUGCACAUUGCCACUAUACUAGAGGAAAACUGGGCAAAGUUAAAUGUUGCUGCUUCUUUUUGGCAAAAUAAUGACCAAAACUGUAUUGUUGUCAGUGAUCACAAUCACAAAGAGAUGCCACUCUGAACAUCUGAACAUCUGAACAUCUAGAGAUGCCACGACGUGGUGGAACCCGAUGUCCAAGGGUGCAUAAUCAGUCUCCGUCUUGUGAGUUCGUCCUUGUUUCUCGCAUUGUUUUGUAAUCUGAUAAUGCUUAUGUUCUCAAUAUCUUCAAUGGCAAGACGAGAUUUUGGUGCCGCAUCUGGCACAUCUAUGAAGGCAUUAGCCAUCUGCAUACUUGGUUGCCUGAUUUUACUUUAAAUGGAGUUGUGUGUGAGAGGAAUAGAGUAAUAAAUUUAUACAUGAACUAAUGGCGUUGGUAAGAAAUUUAGGUGUUAACUUGCACUACUAGGGAAAACCUUAUACACAGAACGUUACCAGUAGCGUUGUAUAAAAUCAAACGCUACUGCUAAUUAGUAGCAGCGCGCGUAAAUAAACCGCGCUACUGCUACGACUUUUGCAGUAGCGCGUACUGGCGAAAAGCGUUGCUGCUAUGUUUGAACUGGGCGCACAUGGCUAGCCCAACCUAGCAGUAGCGCGUAUACUGACCCAACGCAAUUGCUACGCUCCGUAGCUGUAGCGCGCUUACGUAAGGCGCUGCUGCUAACAGAAAUAAAAUAAAGUGAAAAAUAAGUAGAUAAGUAAAUGAAAAUG